rnacentral:rRNA from 1 species
AUUGAACGCUGGCGGCAUGCUUUACACAUGCAAGUCGAACGGCAGCGCGGGCUUCGGCCUGGCGGCGAGUGGCGAACGGGUGAGUAAUACAUCGGAACGUGCCCAGUAGUGGGGGAUAGCUCGGCGAAAGCCGGAUUAAUACCGCAUACGACCUGAGGGUGAAGGCGGGGGAUCUUCGGACCUCGCGCUAUUGGAGCGGCCGAUGGCAGAUUAGCUAGUUGGUGGGGUAAAGGCCUACCAAGGCGACGAUCUGUAGCUGGUCUGAGAGGACGACCAGCCACACUGGGACUGAGACACGGCCCAGACUCCUACGGGAGGCAGCAGUGGGGAAUUUUGGCCAAUGGGCGAAAUCCUGAUCCAGCAAUGCCGCGUGUGUGAUGAAGGCCUUCGGGUUGUAAAGCACUUUUGGCGGGAACGAAAAGGACUGUGCCAAUACCACGGUUCGAUGACGGUACCCGCAGAAUAAGCACCGGCUAACUACGUG